GUGGGGAAUUUUGGACAAUGGGCGAAAGCCUGAUCCAGCCAUGCCGCGUGCAGGAUGAAGGCCUUCGGGUUGUAAACUGCUUUUGUACGGAACGAAAAGACUCCUUCUAAUAAAGGGGGUCCAUGACGGUACCGUAAGAAUAAGCACCGGCUAACUACGUGCCAGCAGCCGCGGUAAUACGUAGGGUGCAAGCGUUAAUCGGAAUUACUGGGCGUAAAGCGUGCGCAGGCGGUUAUAUAAGACAGGUGUGAAAUCCCCGGGCUCAACCUGGGAACUGCAUUUGUGACUGUAUAGCUAGAGUACGGUAGAGGGGGAUGGAAUUCCGCGUGUAGCAGUGAAAUGCGUAGAUAUGCGGAGGAACACCGAUGGCGAAGGCAAUCCCCUGGACCUGUACUGACGCUCAUGCACGAAAGCGUGGGGAGCAAACAGGAUUAGAUACCCGGGUAGUCC
rnacentral:rRNA from 1 species